GCACGGACAAGGAUGCUUAAAGUUGCACGAAAUUAACAUCAUUAUGGAGUCUAAGAGGUUGAAGACCGAGUCAAAGAGCAAGGAUUGUACGGGAAGAGCAGUCACAUGACUUGUAUUUAUAUAGUACAUUUGAUGCGUUAAUUAAGAAUGAAGGUUGUAAAUCUUUUCAAGAAAGUGUUUGACAUUUUAGAAAUGAACCUCCAAGUAUGUAAUAUCGAUAAGAAAGAAAGAAUUUUUGAGUCG
rnacentral:lncRNA from 1 species